rnacentral:misc_RNA from 1 species
UCUAUCCUGAGCAGCCAUAUCACAAAAUAUAUUUAUUAAGUGGAUCAAAGAAGAAGGAAAAAAAAUAAGGGGAAAAAAAUAAAAGAAAAGAAGAAAAGAAGCCUUUUUCUUUAAGCUUCAAAACAUAAACUGCCUGAAUUAUCACUUCUUAUCCACAUGGAUACCUUGUUCUGCCGUUUUCGCUCAAUUUGAACCCGGUCAAAUGGCUUGUAUCGAUAAUUAAAACCUUUCCACCUAUUUUGAGGGGGGAAAAGAUGAAAAAGGGAUGAGCAAUUGAAGAGAACAUUGAAACUACAGUGCAGCAGUUAGUACAUGUCAAGUGAUGAGGGAAAUGAAUUACAAUAUAUUUAAGUUUCUGUUCUUCCAUGUGUGAACAUUGCCUCUAAAGUCCAUAAUGAGACAUUCAUAGUAUAUAUGAUCCAAGGCUUGGAUAGCAAGAAAGAAGCAAAAGAAGCAAAAACAAGGCGUUCUAGCAGGGGCAGCAGUUUUUCACAGAAUAGUACAUGAUUGUGCAUGUACAAGAGCCAAAUCACAUAGCCUGAGCAUGUAAUUUUCAGCCAGCUGUGUAAAGCUGUGUUUUUAGAUUUAAUUUUGAAGUCCAGCAAUCCUAGAGUGACUUGGACUUCCUAUUUUAACUACUAGGGGUGUGCAGUUCUGGUUCAAUUUAGGAUCUGCCUAGGAAACGGAAUCGAACCGAAAUUUCGAUACAGUUCCAAUUCCGGUUCGGUUCUUCAUUGUUUCGAAUCCAGUUCAGUACGAUUCUUAGUUCUUCGGUUCUAGUUCGAUUUAGUAUAGUUCCAGUUUGAUUCUCGAUUCUUGAAACAAUUUUAUGUAAUUAUUUCCUUAAAAUGUCACAUUUAGUAUUUAAGUUUUGAAUUGGGUUAUU